GCAAGACCUCGCGCGAUUGGAGCGGCCGAUAUCAGAUUAGGUAGUUGGUGAGGUAAAGGCUCACCAAGCCGACGAUCUGUAGCUGGUCUGAGAGGACGACCAGCCACACUGGGACUGAGACACGGCCCAGACUCCUACGGGAGGCAGCAGUGGGGAAUUUUGGACAAUGGGCGCAAGCCUGAUCCAGCCAUGCCGCGUGCGGGAAGAAGGCCUUCGGGUUGUAAACCGCUUUUGUCAGGGAAGAAAAGGUUCUGGCUAAUACCUGGGACUCAUGACGGUACCUGAAGAAUAAGCACCGGCUAACUACGUGCCAGCAGCCGCGGUAAUACGUAGGGUGCAAGCGUUAAUCGGAAUUACUGGGCGUAAAGCGUGCGCAGGCGGUUAUGCAAGACAGAGGUGAAAUCCCCGGGCUCAACCUGGGAACUGCCUUUGUGACUGCAUGGCUAGAGUACGGUAGAGGGGGAUGGAAUUCCGCGUGUA
rnacentral:rRNA from 1 species